rnacentral:rRNA from 1 species
UGGGGAAUUUUGGACAAUGGGCGCAAGCCUGAUCCAGCAAUGCCGCGUGCAGGAUGAAGGCCUUCGGGUUGUAAACUGCUUUUGUACGGAGCGAAAAGGUCUGCCCUAAUACGGUGGGCUCAUGACGGUACCGUAAGAAUAAGCACCGGCUAACUACGUGCCAGCAGCCGCGGUAAUACGUAGGGUGCGAGCGUUAAUCGGAAUUACUGGGCGUAAAGCGUGCGCAGGCGGUUAUAUAAGACAGAUGUGAAAUCCCCGGGCUCAACCUGGGACCUGCAUUUGAGACUGUAUAGCUAGAGUACGGUAGAGGGGGAUGGAAUUCAGCGUGUAGCAGUGAAAUGCGUAGAUAUGCGGAGGAACAACGAUGGAGAAGGCAAUCCCCUGGACCUGUACUGACGCUCAUGCACGAAAGCGUGGGGAGCAAACA